rnacentral:rRNA from 1 species
ACUGGCGGACGGGUGAGUAACGCGUAGGUAAUCUGCCCCUUUCACUGACAAAACGUUGAGAAAUCGGCGCUAAUAUCAGAUAUGCACUUCGGUGUGAAAGACUUCGGUUGGGAAGGGAUGAGCCUGCGUCUGAUUAGCUAGUUGGCGGAGUAAAAGCCCACCAAGGCGACGAUCAGUAGCUGGUCUGAGAGGAUGGUCAGCCACACUGGAACUGAGACACGGUCCAGACUCCUACGGGAGGCAGCAGUGAGGAAUCUUGGUCAAUGGGGGAAACCCUGAACCAGCGACGCCGCGUGUAGGAUGACGGGGCUUUGCCCUGUAAACUACUGUCAGGAGGGAAGAAAAGCGUCCACAGGGCGCCGGGACAGUACCUCCAGAGGAAGGACCGGCUAACUACGUGCCAGCAGCCGCGGUAAUACGUAGGGUCCAAGCGUUGUCCGGAAUUACUGGGUGUAAAGGGUGUGCAGGCGGGCCUGUGCGUCAGGGGUUAAAUACUUCGGCUUAACCGAAGAACAGCCCUUGAUACGGCAGGUCUUGAGUACGAGAGAGGAUAGUAGAAUUCCUGGUGUAGCGGUGAAAUGCGUAGAUAUCAGGAGGAAUACCAGUGGCGAAGGCGGCUAUCUGGCUCGUUACUGACGCUCAGGCACGAAAGCGUGGGGAGCAAACAGGAUUAGAUACCCU